rnacentral:rRNA from 1 species
GUGAACUGCGGAAGGACAUUA